CGCAACCCUUGCCUUUAGUUGCCAGCAGUUCGGCUGGCGACUCUAAAGGGACUGCCGGUGUUAAACCGGAGGAAGGUGGGGAUGACGUCAAGUCCUCAUGGCCUUUAUGACCAGGGCUACACACGUACUACAAUGGCCGAUACAAAGGGCAGCGACACUGCGAGGUGAAGCCAAUCCCGUAAAAUCGGUCUCAGUCCGGAUUGGAGUCUGCAACUCGACUCCAUGAAGUUGGAAUCGCUAGUAAUCGUGGAUCAGCAUGCCGCGGUGAAUACGUUCCCGGGCCUU
rnacentral:rRNA from 1 species